rnacentral:sRNA from 1 species
CUCGGAGCUCCGUUCCCGGCCACAGGAGCCAAGGCAGGCUGGAGUGUCCAGCACCUGCAUGCUGGGGGCCUCUGCUGCGCCACUGGCAGUGGGAAUGGAAGCCCCCACCUCUUAGCCGCCUGCAGAUGGGGGUGUCGUGUUCUGCUCAUCGUCAUUUCGUUUUAGGGGUUUUUCUGUAAGACUGAAGAUGACUUCAGUGAUUGGUGCCAGCAAGUCAAAAAGCUGUCUCUGCUCGGAGGUGCCCUGCCCAUGUUUGAGCUGGUGGAGCAGCAGCCUUCACAUCUGGCCUGCCCCGACGUCCUGAACCUGUCCCUAGGUGAGAGCUGCCAAGUCCAGGUGGGGUCCCUCGGAGGUACGAUCUGUGCCCUUGCUUCCCCAGUCCUGGCCCCCUUGGUUUUGACCAUUAAGGUGUGUGUGAGCCUGAGCCAUGAGCACUUGGCAGUGGUUCGCCUGUGAGACCAGGUGUGGAGCGGAGCGUCCCCUCCUCCAAGCUUGCGCCCAGCAGCCCAGGACCCACCUCGUCUUCCCCCCGAGGCGCUGCCUGCCCGGGCACUGUGGAGCUGGGCGUGCUCCCAUGGAGUCCUCAGGGCUCUGGAGCAGACAGAACAUGCAGGCUCUGUGGUGACGCAGUUCUGGGUGGGGGACUGGUUCACUUGGGCACCACUGGCCACGGGUGGCGUAGACCCCUUGGACCAUGGCCAGCGUGCCACAGGAGCCAGCCUGGGCUCGUGCAGUGAAGUGAGUGGCCGUGAGCGUGUCCUCCUCAUCCCUGUCUCCCUGUGGGAAACUCUACAAACAAGGCAAUGGCAAUGGAACCACUCCUGAUGAC